GACGAACGCUGGCGGCGUGCUUAACACAUGCAAGUCGAACGAAGUGGCGAACGGGUGAGUAACGCGUAUUCAACCUGCCCUUCAGAGGGGGACAACAGUUGGAAACGACUGCUAAUACCGCAUACUGAAGAUGGGGAUUGCGGCUGAUUAGCUAGUUGGAGGGGUAACGGCCCACCAAGGCGAUGAUCAGUAGCCGGUCUGAGAGGAUGAACGGCCAAAUUGGGAAUGAGAAAAGGGCCAGACUCCUACGGGAGGCAGCAGUGGGGAAUCUUUCGCAAAGGACGGAAGUCUGACGGAGCAACGCCGCGUGAGUGAUGACGGCCUUCGGGUUGUAAAGCUCUGUUAAUCGGGACGCGGUACCGAAAUAGAAAGCCACGGCUAACUACGUGCCAGCCGCCGCGGUAAUAC
rnacentral:rRNA from 1 species